rnacentral:lncRNA from 1 species
UGCAAUUUGGAGUGGAUAAAACCCUAAAAAACACCUAAAAAAACAGUAGUGCCAAAUAAGGCCUGAUGUGUCGAAGGAGACGAGUCAGGUUAUAAAAUGUUGUUGGUAAUUAAUCUUUGUGCUGGUCCCUGUGCAUCCACCGUCCAUCACAUAUAGGGGUAUAUAUAGUUUGUUUUUGUCACAGCUUUACGGAAUUUACUUAUCUGCGAUAAUAGGAGUCAGGACGCAUGAAUCAAGAUUGUCACCCUUACAGCUAAUGUUUAUGAAUUGCAUUGCAUGUGGUACAUGAGGGUACUCGUACAAUUUUUAUUGUAUGCACCACAAUUACAACCACUAGGUGGGACUGGGUAUAGGGUUUUUUUUUUUCCUUUCAUAAAAUAUGUCUCUAGUGAUUAGAGGUUCUACUUUUUAUCUUUUUUUUCUUCGGAAAAUGUGGUCGUUCUCCAGUCUCUGCAUCAAUCAAUCAAACAACCGUUCAUUAAUAAAAAUAUUAAAAGCGUAAGUCACAAGGUUACAACUGGAUACACAAAAGGGAUGAAAAGAACAAAACAAAAAAACAUCCUUCCGGCCUAAGA